rnacentral:rRNA from 1 species
UACGAGGGGAGCUAGCGUUGUUCGGAAUCACUGGGCGUAAAGCGCACGUAGGCGGAUUUGUCAGUCAGGGGUGAAAUCCCGGGGCUCAACCUCGGAACUGCCUUUGAUACAGCAAGUCUUGAGUUCGAGAGAGGUGGGUGGAAUUCCUAGUGUAGAGGUGAAAUUCGUAGAUAUUAGGAAGAACACCGGUGGCGAAGGCGGCCCACUGGCUCGACACUGACGCUGAGGUGCGAAAGCGUGGGGAGCAAACAGGG